rnacentral:rRNA from 1 species
GACGAACGCUGGCGGCGUGCUUAACACAUGCAAGUCGAACGGAAAGGCCCUGCUUUUGUGGGGUGCUCGAGUGGCGAACGGGUGAGUAACACGUGAGUAACCUGCCCUUGACUUUGGGAUAACUUCAGGAAACUGGGGCUAAUACCGGAUAGGAGCUCCUGCUGCAUGGUGGGGGUUGGAAAGUUUCGGCGGUGGGGGAUGGACUCGCGGCUUAUCAGCUUGUUGGUGGGGUAGUGGCUUACCAAGGCUUUGACGGGUAGCCGGCCUGAGAGGGUGACCGGCCACAUUGGGACUGCGGUACGGCCCAGACUCCUACGGGAGGCAGCAGGCGGGAAUAUUGCACAAUGGGCGGAAGCCUGAUGCAGCAACGCCCCGUGCGGGAUGACGGCCUUCGGGUUGUAAACCGCUUUCGCCUGUGACGAAGCGUGAGUGACGGUAAUGGGUAAAGAAGCACCGGCUAACUACGUG